rnacentral:lncRNA from 1 species
UGUAAGUAUCUCAACCAAAGAGCUUGUUUGGUAUUGUUGUUACACAUGAUUGAAAUUAUUGACAAAUGAAAAAAAUGUCAUGUUUUCAGAUUAUUUCUAUCCUUCCGUAAAACUAAUGCAGAACAUGUUAAUUUAAUCACCAAAAUCAAAUAUGAGUUUCUGUUUUUCACAUUCUACAAAAAUCUACUAUUUAUCACCAAAAAUAGUUCUCUGUUUCUAACUUUUAUCUCAAAAGCUGCAAUCAGCAAGAACAACUUUCUGUGUAAUUAGGCUGCUGAAGGGGCUAGGAU